CCCAUAUUUUCAAGUAACCAAAGUCCCGAAACUUCAAACCGGCAGCAAUGUUGGAUCUCCAUCGAUCUCCUUCCUCCACAAUUCAUUCAAGCGACAAUGGUGGACCUCUAUCAAUUGAAUCUUUGUGCAAAUGAUGAGAUAAGAGUUAGACCUUACUCACAGUAGAACUAGGGAAACUUAUUGUCAAGCUUGGAUAGAGUACACCAAGACGUUAAACCUCUCACUAACGCCACGUAUUCUUGUCCAUCGAAGACUUCUUCAGUUCAAACAAACUUGAUCCAGUUCCUGUGUGAGAGGUGGUAAUCUUCCGUUCUCACUCAGAUAAGUAUAACCACAGCCUUACCAAUUGUUGUUGUCUCUAUCAGUGCCUUCUAGAGUACCAUUUUCCUUAAACCUUUGCCUUUUGACAGAUUGAGCUCCGAGGGAACUGAUACCACUGUCUAAAAAUCUAGGAUCUAAAGUCCAUGGACAUCUAUUAGGUAUAAAGCUCAUCUUAUUGCAAAGGGAUUUACCCAGCGUCCAGGCUUAGACUUCCAUUCCACCUUCAGCCCGGUAGUCAAACCAGUUAUUGUUCAGUUGGUGCUUACCAUUGCGACGCAGUACAACUGGCCAAUCCAGCAGAUUGAUGUUAAUAAUGCAUUCUUACAAGAAAGCCUUAAGGAAGAAUUUUAUAUGAGGUAGCCACCAGGCUUUGAAGAUCAAAGUCACUCCACCCAUGUCUGUAAGUUGAAUAAAGCAAUCUAUGGCUUGAAACAGUCCCCCCGAGCUUGGUAAAAUGAGCUCAAAAAUUAUUUGCUAAUUGUUGGGUUUGUCAAGUCCCAAUCUGAUUAUUCUUUAUUUAUUUUGCAUAAUUUUGGAUUCACUUUUUAUGUUCUUAUCUAUGUGGAUGAUAUAAUCAUCACUGGAAAUCAUAUUUGUGGGGUUUUGUCAUACAAUUGAUGGUGUUUCCACUCGUUUCUCCUUGAAAGACCUUGAACAGCUCUAUUAUUUUUUAGGUGUUUGAGGUUAUCUCUUCUACUGCUCAUCUUUUUUUGUCCCAGCACAAGUAUAUUAUGGAUAUUUUAGAGGAUGUUGGCAUGCUAGACAGUAAAGAAGUUCCUACACCUAUGACCUCAACUACCAUUUUGACAACUUAAGUGAAUGAUCCUCCGGCUAAUGGUACUCUUUAUAGGUGGGUAAUUGGAAAGUUGCACUACUUAUCCUUUACACGUCCUGAUAUUGCCUUCACAGCUAGAAAGCUCUCUCAAUUUAUGUAAAAUCCACGCCACUCACACUGGAAAGGAGUCAAGCGAUUGCUUUGUUAUCUUCGUCACACCUGCCAAUAUGGCAUAUAGAUUGCCAAAGCUCCAUAUUCUUGUUUGGUUGUUUACUCAGAUUCAGAUUGGGCUGGUGAUCCAAAUGAUCGCAUUUUUACCUCUGGCUAUAUCACAUUCUUGGGCAACACACUAACUUUCUGGGCCUCUAAGAAACAAUGCUUCGUAUCUCAGUCCUCUACAGAAGUUGAGUAUUGAGUUAUGGUUGCUGCUGUUGCAGAAACCAAUUGGAUUAAAAACCUUCUUCAUGAACUUCGGCUUUAACUUAAGGGAGUUCCACAGGUUUUCUGUGACAACAUCAGCACCACUUACAUUUGUUCCAGUACAGUCUUUCAUAGUAGGAUGAAACAUGUUGCCAUUGGUUUUCACUUUGUUCGUGAAAAAGUUCAGAAUAAGGAUAUUGAAGUUCACCACCUUCACUCAGCUGAUCAAGUGGCUGACAUACUCACAAAACCCCUUACCAGAGAUUCUUUUGUCCAGCAAUUUUCCAAGUUGGGUGUUGUUGACACCACCAACUUGCAGGGGCGUAAUAACUGAUCAGAUUUAGUAGUGUCUUCUCUUUAGACUCUGUUGUAACUUCCUCCUUGUA